rnacentral:lncRNA from 1 species
AUUAUGGACUCAAUGUAGCAGAUAUUGUAGACCCAAAGGACACAAGAGUAAUGAAAAUGUAGGAGCAUUACAUAUUUUUAGGAGUUUAAAUGUCUACAUAUUUCUAAAUCUGGAAGCAGCUUUGAUAUAUGAAGGACAAUGGCUUACAUUGUGACCUAAGACAUAUCCCUGGGGGGCCUAUAUUUCCAUCAAGCUAAUCACCAUUUUCCCUUGCAGGAGGUGGGAUGACCAAAAGUUCUGGAUCUUUCUAGCACAAUGUGUCACUUCGACCACAACCGAAGUUUAAAGAGACUCAACUCUUCCUAUAUAGAAACAGCAUAUUUCCCUCCCAUCUCCCUCAGACAAAUAGGCCCCUUGUCUAUGACACGGAGCCCUAGAGAAGGAAGUGUCUUGCCCAAGAAUCGCUCUGAGUGGAGCCAAGAGUUGCAUUUCAGGGAGAAAUCAAAAGCCAUAUAUUCUACCCCAAGCAAGUUGAAAAAGAGGGGAAUAUUCAGUAUGUGCAAAUACCAGACAGGGACCUCAUCAGAGGUAAGUUCUACUAUCUAUAAGAAAAUUAAGCAAACCAUUGAAAGAAGUUAGGGACUCUCCUUCCAUAAAUAUUUAGGGAUCCAACUUUUUUUUUUUGGUGUGUGUGUGUGUGUGUGUGUUACUGAGAAUUGAACCUAGGGACUCGUAAUUGCUAAACAAGCACUCUGCCACCAAACUACAUCCCCAGCCCCAGAGGUUUUUAAUAUAGUAUUUAGUUAGAGACAGUAGAUGUCAAUAAUUAGCCCUCUGUACAUGGUUUCUACUAAACUUCUGCUCCCAAAUAUCUUUCUAUGGGAUGAUUUUAAAAAUUUUAUUGGGAAAACGGAAAAGCCCAAAAUGAGCAAGUAAAAACUUUACAAUUAAGUGAAAGCAGGAAGAAAAGACUUUUGACACAUGUUGAGAAUCUUGGCUGCAAACAAAAAAGACCGUCAGAUCACCUUGGGAAACCCGGACAUGUGUCAGGAGAAUCCGAGAGGACUGGAGCAGACGCACAGGCCUUCAGGAACAGUGGCAUCUCUGGGUGCAAUGUUCUGCCAUCUUGCUCUGGCAGCCACGCAUACUCAUCCUCUUCUCGCUCCUGACCAGCUUCCUCUUGGUUUCUGCUCCCUACCAUCAGCUUGCACGUGGCUUCUGGCCCCUUGGGCCCCUCUCCAACCGAGACCCUUCAGUUUCAGCUCCCUGGUAUUCGCUAGCACAGUGCUUCACUGUAAAUUCUCAGAGUAUGAAUCUGAUUGGAUCAGAUCACCUAUUAGGGUCAAGUCACAUUAUAGACCAUUGUCCAGCCAAUGCAAUGGCUGUCCUUAAAUCAACUGCCCACCACUGGUCUAAUCAUCAAAACCAAUGAGGGAUGGGACGCAAAACCAUUUGGUCCAAGCAUUUCUCACCAGAAAGAGCUGAGGUAUGGGCAGGCUCUGAUUGCUGUCUCUAUUAAAUUGCAAUGCUACCCAGAAGAAGAGCUUUUAAACUGCAGCUUGAGGGCAUGUUCUAUUAUUUUAUUCAUGCAAUCAUUUAUUCAUUCUGGCCUAUCUCCUAUUAAAGAAGAUUUGAGAUGACUUACAAAUCUGUAUAUGAUAUGUUAGGAUCAAAUAGUUGAGAAAAAUAUAGGCAAACAGAAAAGAAAAAAGGAAAAAAAAAAAAAGAAAGAAUGGGAAAGCAAAAAGCCAGGAGCAAAAUUAACAUCGUGUAGUACAUUAACAUUCAACACUAGAAAAUUGCUAAAGGGGAGUGUUAUGAUCUGCAUAUUUUCACCCCCCAAAAAAGUUCAUCUGUUGAAUCAUUACCCCCAAUGCAAUCGUAUUAAGAAGUGAAGCUUUCAAGAAUUGAUUAAGUCAUCAGGGCAGAGCCCUCAGAAAUGGAAUUACUGCUGUUCUAUGAGUCCUGAGGGAACUGGCUUGCCUUCCACCUUGUGAGGACACAGCAAGAAGGUACUAUCUUCAAAGAAGAGAGAGAGCCAGACACUGAAUCUGCUGGUACUCUCUGCAUGGACUUUCCAACCUCUAGAAUUGUGAGCAAUAAAUUUCUAUUGUUUACAAAUUACCCAGUGUACUGUAUAAGGUAUUUUAUUCUAGCAGCAAGAAUGGACUAAGACCUUGAAUCUGUGUCUGAAUCUGAGACCUGCCAAACUUAAUAUCAAGUAGCUACGGACAGGGAAGAGUCCUGGCAGAAAAAGUCAUUUACAGUAGAAUAGAUUACUUGCCACGCCUAUGGAAGCCUGUCCCUCCAAAGAGAUGUCCCUCUUCUCUCUGUGCUGAUUUGUGGCCUGCCUUGAUAGAGAAGGCGAGUCUAGAGUGUCUCCAGGCUUUCCCUGGUCCUGAGUUCAUAACGAUAGCCGAGAUUUCAUUGACUGCACCAGAAACAAAUCAUUAAGAAGGUGAGAUUUUAUGGAGCAAAAACCAACCUCCAACACAACUUCAAUCCAUGGAUACCUCAGUCCCCAGCCCCCUCCCAAACUGGAGACAUAGUUUGAAAGCUGAAAAGGCCGAUCAUAAAUUUCUCAUUUCUUUUUUAUUGUGCAUAGUAAGGCAAGAAGUACACGGGAAGGCUGGCUCAGGGAUUUUGCUGCUCUCCAG